rnacentral:lncRNA from 1 species
CUUUAUCAUUCUUUUUAUCACCUGGUCUGUGAACACAUCGGGUGGUACCAUCUUAUUGAAGAAGUCAGAGCACACAGCUCCUGCCUGCAGAUAAUAGUGAAGGGCUGCUGAAUACUGGUUUGUCGCAAAAUAAAUAUCUGCCUGGAUAAUUAACCAGAAGUGGUUGUUGGAGUUGAUUGUCAGUGCAUAGUUGACAAGCUCUUUCACUGUAACAGCCACGGCUUCAAAAUCCACUGACUGAAGGUUGGGAAUAGACGAGGGCCAGAUGGAGAUGUACUCUGCUGUAAUGUCAUUCACAAUAUCCUCCCGAACAUUAUGAAGCUUGACAAACAGGGACAGUAUUGUAGUUAACACCAAUGGCUCCCGAAGCUUUUUGAUGAAGGACAGCAGUUCACUCCUGUACAUAAUGCCUAGCGUAGAUUCUCUGUGCUUUAUCAAACUCACUCUGCCAUCAUUCCCCCGUUUGUGCUGGUUGGAUACACUGCAGAUCUGUACGACGACUUCCCAGAGAUCUUUAGCUGUCCUUCUGCUUUCCUUGGGACCCGGGAGUUCUUUGCACGUAGCAGCCAGCAACUGCCCCAGCUUUACAUAAGGAUUAGUCUGAACCAGAGGUAAUGGAACUUGCAUGGUCAAGUAUUCAUUUUCACGCCAGUUUAACAGGAAGGCAACACACUCCUCAGCUAUAACUUGUCGAAGAGGAAUAUCUGGUACUCUCAUUUCCAAGUACCCUCGGACUCUGCUUAUAAGAUCAGAAGGAGGACGCUCCCCGGCAGCACCGGCUCCAGCCUCGUGUGUGUAAAUGUCCAAAAGCAGCAUUUCAUUCAGCAUGACUUGACGGAGCUUUGGAGAAAAUUCUGUCACAAGCUCUAAGCAAGCAGCAAAAAGCUGCUUAGCGUGGACAAAAUCCUUAAUUGCACAGCAGUGUAAUCCCUUCGCCAUAAGGAUGUAGACCAAAUCCCUAGUCAGAUUAUCUUUGAUUCCUAGAAUAACAUUGCCAUAAACAUUUGGUACUUCCCACUGUGAGAGAAACAUGCAAGACAUUUGCACAGAAACAGGUUUUAGAAAUCACACAUUUCCUUAAAUACUAAAAACAAAGCUCAAAAUGUUGAGACCAAUGGAUUUCUAAGUGUCAAAUCUUUCAGAAAUGUUUGCAUUUCAUCAGCAGUAAGGUAUGGCUCAGGAGUAUAGAAGUACCCUAAAAAGGGCUACCUAUUGUACUUUGUAUUGUACUUUAUAUGAUGAGCAUGCAGUCAUUUGGGAGACAAAGACAAAAAAGCCAAAAACAUAACCAAAAGAAAUCUACUCCUCUCUCUUCCUAAC